GCGCUGCACGUGUCCGCGCGGCUGUGCUGGGGCACGGCGGGCAGGUGUAAUACUCCAAAUAUUAUACCAAUUCGUCCUUAUUUCCUGAUUGAAGAAACUGUUUGUAGAGUGAGGCACUCAUUGCAAUCCUACCUAUAGAAAAACAAAGCAGAUUAUCUGAAAGAACGAAGUCACCAAGGGAAAACACUCUAUCUUGGACCUGGAUGGAAUUGGGGCUGCCUGACUAUUGGAGUGGCAAGCAAAGCAUCAGCCAUACUUGAGAGAUUCCCAGAGAAGACCACAUGCUGUUCUAUGAAAGAAACAAAGAACUUCAGUAACAAGGAGAAGUGGAGUUGCUUCCAGGAGGCACCAGACUCUGAAAAUCUGGCUCAUCAACUUUAUGCUCCUUGGUUCUCGUGUGUCAGCGUGCCCAGCUGGGAGGACAGGACUGGACAAGGGGGCUUUUCAGUUACUGAUACCUGAGCUGGCAUAAAACUGUGGAAUCUGCAAUCUGCUGGAAGAUAUGGCAUCCUUUUUGCCUACUGAGGAAACAAAAACCCUGAUAGGAGCAUUUAUUCAGCAGGAAUGGCAGAAGAAAUCUUAAUAAAAAGGCCCUGUUAUGAAAUAUGCUGCAGCUCGAAACUUUCUGGAGAAAAUGCUCUGACCCUAUAGUGCCAUUCAAGAAGAUCAGAUUGGAUCAAAGACCCGCUGGGAUAUGGAGUGUCUGUGGUGGAUGAAAAGCUAAGACUUUAUCAGUUAUGGCAAUCCAGAGUUCAGGGAUUGAAAAACACCCACCAAGAUGUACAUAUCACAAAUUCCCACAGAAAAGCCAAAAAAUCCCAGCAAAGCCAGUGCAACAGGCAGACUAGCAGCUGAUCCAUGAGCAGCGGCUUCCCAUACACUCCCACUGCAACACUUCAUGAGGGCUUCCAGAGCCUUUUCUUUUUCACACACUGAGUCUGUCAGAUGGCAUGUGAGAAAUAAUAUGGCAGUUAUUAUGGGGAUGUGUGUUCUUUGGAACUGAAAAAAAGCAUCUGCUAGGUCACAGCCUGCUUCUGGGUUGGACACACAAUGUCAGUGGGAAAAAAUUAAGUGUUAUUCCAAGCAUCCAUGCAAAGAAGACCUUAAAGGGAAAGGUACUAUGAGGCCAGAGAAAAUAAUUUUAAAUGACACAGUGAAGUGUCUUCAAUUCAGAGCUUUUUUUCUUCUAUUACAUGCACAUUAAGGAAGCUAACAAGACCACUUACAGUAAGUCAGUACCCUUCCAUUCUGCUUAAUCCCAUUUGUACUCCAAAGAAAUUAAUCAAAACAACAGGAAUGUGGAAAUGAUGUCCAGAGACUCUCAGAAGUGUGCAGGAUAGUGCAGAAGAAAAUUCUUUAGGAAAAGUCAGCAAAGUCCGCCCCCAGACCGAAGAAAAACAGUUCUCUGGAGCCUCUUCUUCUAAGGUUCCCUUCAGGAGUUUGCUAAAUGACAAAAAUUAAAGCUGAACCAGAAAAUGAAGCAAUGUGCACCGGGAAUGACAGCACCAAGGAAGCUGUGAAAUCCAAGGUGCAACUGCCUGCAUUUUGGAAGAAUUUUAAUACAUUUCAGGACAAAAAAGCACAUGCAAAAAUAUAAGCCUACCUGGUAUUUAUCUUGGACUCAAUGCUAAAAUAACUUGCCAGUAGCAAAUUCCAUACACUGAAACCACAGUUCUUGCUACACACUCGCAUGUUUCCCAUCAUACACACUCGCACACACACAGACACACACACACUGCAUAGAAAAACACUCAAAAAGCCAGCAUCAACAUUAUAAAAAAUAUCCCCCAAAGCAAGUUAUCACCUCACCUCCAAGCAGGAACACUGGGCUCUUAUGCUCAGCGUGUAGGCACAGCCAAACCUCCCUUGUCCAUCAGAAAGACACCUCUGGUCAUUU